rnacentral:rRNA from 1 species
GUUAUAUGGUCAAGCGAAUAAGCGCACACGGUGGAUGCCUAGGCGGUCAGAGGCGAUGAAGGACGUGGUAGCCUGCGAAAAGUGUCGGGGAGCUGGCAACAAGCUUUGAUCCGGCAAUGUCCGAAUGGGGAAACCCACUGCUUCGGCAGUAUCCUGCAGUGAAUUCAUAGCUGCUGGAAGCGAACCCGGUGAACUGAAAUAUCUAAGUAACCGGAGGAAAAGAAAUCAACCGAGAUUCCCUAAGUAGUGACGAGCGAACGGGGAACAGCCCUUAAGCUGGAAUGGCUUUAGAAAAACAAUCUGGAAAGAUUGGCCAUAGAAGGUGAUAGCCCUGUAUUUAAAAGGGCCACUCCAGUGAAGACGAGUAGGGCGGGGCACGUGAAACCCUGUCUGAAUAUGGGGGGACCAUCCUCCAAGGCUAAAUACUCCUGACCGACCGAUAGUGAACCAGUACCGUGAGGGAAAGGCGAAAAGAACCCCGGAGAGGGGAGUGAAAUAGAUCCUGAAACCGUGUGCGUACAAGCAGUAGGAGCUCGCAAGAGUGACUGCGUACCUUUUGUAUAAUGGGUCAGCGACUUACUGUUCGUGGCAAGCUUAACCGUAUAGGGGAGGCGAAGGGAAACCGAGUCUGAUAAGGGCGCAUAGUCGCGGGCAGUAGACCCGAAACCGGGUGAUCUAGUCAUGGCCAGGGUGAAGGUGCCGUAACAGGUACUGGAGGCCCGAACCCACGUCUGUUGCAAAAGACGGGGAUGAGCUGUGAUUAGGAGUGAAAAGCUAAUCGAACCCGGAGAUAGCUGGUUCUCCUCGAAAGCUAUUUAGGUAGCGCCUCGGACGAAUACUACUGGGGGUAGAGCACUGUUAUGGCUAGGGGGUCAUCGCGACUUACCAAACCAUUGCAAACUCCGAAUACCAGUACGUACUAUCCGGGAGACACACGGCGGGUGCUAACGUCCGUCGUGAAAAGGGAAACAACCCAGACCCACAGCUAAGGUCCCAAAUUCACUGCUAAGUGGAAAACGAUGUGGAAAGGCAUAGACAGCCAGGAGGUUGGCUUAGAAGCAGCCACCCUUUAAAGAAAGCGUAAUAGCUCACUGGUCGAGUCGGUCUGCGCGGAAGAUUUAACGGGGCUAAGCAGUGAACCGAAGCUUGGGGUGCAUAAAACUUGUUUUAUGCGCGGUAGAGGAGCGUUCCGUAAGCCUGCGAAGGUGGAUUGAGAAGUCUGCUGGAGGUAUCGGAAGUGCGAAUGCUGACAUGAGUAACGAUAAUGCGGGUGAAAAGCCCGCACGCCGAAAGCCCAAGGUUUCCUUGCGCAACGUUAAUCGACGCAGGGUUAGUCGGUCCCUAAGGCGAGGGCGAAAGCCGUAGUCGAUGGGAAGCAGGUUAAUAUUCCUGCACCUCGCGUGAGUGCGAUGGAGGGACGGAGAAGGUUAGGUGUACCGGGCGUUGGUUGUCCCGGGGAAAGGCGGUAGGUUUGGAUCUUUGGCAAAUCCGGGAUCCUUUAAGACCGAGCACCGAGACGAGCCUUUAUGGCGAAGUCACUGAUACCACGCUUCCAGGAAAAGCUCCUAAGCUUCAGCUCACGAAGACCGUACCGUAAACCGACACAGGUGGGUAGGAUGAGAAUUCUCAGGCGCUUGAGAGAACUCGGGUGAAGGAACUAGGCAACAUGGCACCGUAACUUCGGGAGAAGGUGCACCCUUUUUGGUGGCUCGUGCGAGCUAUAGCUGAAGAGGGUCGCAGAAACCAGGCCGCUGCGACUGUUUAUCAAAAACACAGCACUCUGCAAACACGAAAGUGGACGUAUAGGGUGUGACGCCUGCCCGGUGCUGGAAGGUUAAUUGAUGGGGUCAGCCGCAAGGCGAAGCUCUUGAUCGAAGCCCCAGUAAACGGCGGCCGUAACUAUAACGGUCCUAAGGUAGCGAAAUUCCUUGUCGGGUAAGUUCCGACCUGCACGAAUGGCGUAACGACAGCGGCGCUGUCUCCACCCGAGACUCAGUGAAAUUGAAAUCGCUGUGAAGAUGCAGCGUUCCCGUGGCAAGACGGAAAGACCCCGUGAACCUUUACUAUAGCUUUACACUGAACGUUGAGUUCGUCUGUGUAGGAUAGGUGGGAGGCUAUGAAACUGUGGCGCUAGCUGCAGUGGAGCCAUCCUUGAAAUACCACCCUGUCGUGCUUGACGUUCUAACCUAGAUCCGUUAUCCGGAUCAGGGACCGUGUAUGGUGGGUAGUUUGACUGGGGCGGUCUCCUCCUAAAGAGUAACGGAGGAGCACGAAGGUACGCUCAGCGCGGUCGGACAUCGCGCACUGUGUGCAAAGGCAUAAGCGUGCUUGACUGCAAGAUCGACGGAUCAAGCAGGUACGAAAGUAGGUCUUAGUGAUCCGGUGGUUCUGUAUGGAAGGGCCAUCGCUCAACGGAUAAAAGGUACUCCGGGGAUAACAGGCUGAUACCGCCCAAGAGUUCAUAUCGACGGCGGUGUUUGGCACCUCGAUGUCGGCUCAUCACAUCCUGGGGCUGUAGUCGGUCCCAAGGGUAUGGCUGUUCGCCAUUUAAAGUGGUACGCGAGCUGGGUUCAGAACGUCGUGAGACAGUUCGGUCCCUAUCUGCCAUGGGCGUUGGAAGUUUGAGAGGGGCUGCUCCUAGUACGAGAGGACCGGAGUGGACGAACCUCUGGUGUUCCGGUUGUCACGCCAGUGGCAUUGCCGGGUAGCUAUGUUCGGAAGCGAUAACCGCUGAAAGCAUCUAAGCGGGAAGCGCGCCUCAAGAUGAGACUUCCCGGGGCACAAGCCCCCUAAAGGAACCAUGUAGACUACGUGGUUGAUAGGUCAGGUGUGUAAGUACAGCAAUGUAUUGAGCUAACUGAUACUAAUGAUCCGUGCGGCUUGACCAUAUAACCU